rnacentral:rRNA from 1 species
UGCUUAAACUCUUUUAAGUAAGACUUGCUUACAGGGAAUUCUCAUGAGUAGGGUUAGCCUGAGCUCUUUAAGGUAGGGAUAUAAAUAGGCCUUUAAUGGUGGUCCUCAUGAAUAGUUAAACACGGCUCGCUUUUCUUAUAAUUAUACAUGAAAAUAUGCUUUAAACUUAACAGAGUUUAAAGAAUGAUAGUACGAUCAGACCCUAAAACUUGCCCAAAUCUAACGUGAUUACUAUUAAGUGCUUAGAAAUUUAAAUUGGACAAUUAAAAACAUAAUCUCACAUUUCUAAUAUAUCUUAAUCUUUUUAAUAUAGGAAAAAGGUACUUUAGGGAUAACAGCAAACUCAGUUUUUAUGCACCUUAAGCUAUAAAACGAAAUUGACUUCGAUGUUGACUAAAUAAAAAUAAACGUAAAAACAAGACUUACAAAUUAGUGUUUGUUCUCCACAUAGUUGAU